GUAUUAGGAAGGUGGGAUGAUCUUUGUUGUAUUAGGAAGGUGGGAUGAUCUUUGUUGUAUUAGGAAGGUGGGAUGAUCUUUGCUGUAUGGUAUUAGGAAGGUGGGAUGAUCUUUGCUGUAUGGUAUUAGGAAGGUGGGAUGAUCUUUGUUGUAUUAGGAAGGUGGGAUGAUCUUUGCUGUAUUAGGAAGGUGGGAUGAUCUUUGCUGUAUUAGGAAGGUGGGAUGAUCUUUGCUGUACGGUAUUAGGAAGGUGGGAUGAUCUUUGUUGUAUUAGGAAGGUGGGAUGAUCUUUGUUGUAUUAGGAAGGUGGGAUGAUCUUUGCUGUACGGUAUUAGGAAGGUGGGAUGAUCUUUGUUGUAUUAGGAAGGUGGGAUGAUCUUUGCUGUAUGGUAUUAGGAAGGUGGGAUGAUCUUUGUUGUAUUAGGAAGGUGGGAUGAUCUUUGUUGUAUUAGGAAGGUGGGAUGAUCUUUGCUGUAUGGUAUUAGGAAGGUGGGAUGAUCUUUGUUGUAUUAGGAAGGUGGGAUGAUCUUUGCUGUAUUAGGAAGGUGGGAUGAUCUUUGCUGUAUUAGGAAGGUGGGAUGAUCUUUGCUGUACGGUAUUAGGAAGGUGGGAUGAUCUUUGUUGUAUUAGGAAGGUGGGAUGAUCUUUGUUGUAUUAGGAAGGUGGGAUGAUCUUUGCUGUAUGGUAUUAGGAAGGUGGGAUGAUCUUUGUUGUAUUAGGAAGGUGGGAUGAUCUUUGUUGUAUUAGGAAGGUGGGAUGAUCUUUGCUGUAUUAGGAAGGUGGGAUGAUCUUUGUUGUAUUAGGAAGGUGGGAUGAUCUUUGCUGUAUUAGGAAGGUGGGAUGAUCUUUGCUGUAUGGUAUUAGGAAGGUGGGAUGAUCUUUGUUGUAUUAGGAAGGUGGGAUGAUCUUUGUUGUAUUAGGAAGGUGGGAUGAUCUUUGCUGUAUGGUAUUAGGAAGGUGGGAUGAUCUUUGUUGUAUUAGGAAGGUG